GACGAACGCUGGCGGCGUGCUUAACACAUGCAAGUCGAACGGAAAGGCCCUGCUUGUUUGGGGUGCUCGAGUGGCGAACGGGUGAGUAACACGUGAGUAACCUGCCCUUGACUGUAGGAUGACUUCAGGAAACUGGGGCUAAUACCGGCUAGGAGCUCCUGCUGCUGGGUGGGGGUUGGAAAGUUUCGGCGGUUGGGGAUGGACUCGCGGCUUAUCAGCUUGUUGGUGGGGUAGUGGCUUACCAAGGCUUUGACGGGUAGCCGGCCUGAGAGGGUGACCGGCCCCAUUGGGCCUGAGAUACGGCCCAGACUCGUACGGGAGGCAGCAGUGGGGAAUAUUGCACAAUGGGCGGAAGCCUGAUGCAGCAACGCCGCGUGCGGGAUGACGGCCUUCGGGUUGUAAACCGCUUUCGCCUGUGACGAGGCGUGAGUGACGGUAAUGGGUAAAGAAGCACCGGCUAACUACGUG
rnacentral:rRNA from 1 species